UUGAACGCUGGCGGAAUGCUUUACACAUGCAAGUCGAACGGCAGCACGGGGGCAGCCCUGGUGGCGAGUGGCGAACGGGUGCGUAAUACAUCGGAACCUGCCCGGUCGUGGGGGAUAACGUAGCGAAAGUUACGCUAAUACCGCAUACGAUCUGAGGAUGAAAGCGGGGGACCUUCGGGCUCUGCGCGAUCGGAGCGCACGAUGUCAGCUUCGCUAGUUGGCGGGGUAAAGGCCUACCGAGCCGACGAUCUGUAGCUGGUCUGAGAGGACGACCAGCCACACUGGGACUGAGACACGGCCCAGAGUCCUAGAAGGUGCAGCAGUGGGGAAUUUUGGACAAUGGGCGCAAGCCUGAUCCGUCCAUUCCGCGUGCAGGACGAAGUGGUGCGGGUUGUAAACUGCUUUUGCACGGAACGAAAAGGGUCUGGCUAAUACCUGGGGCGCAUGACGGUACCGUAAGAAUAAGCACCGGCUAACUACGUG
rnacentral:rRNA from 1 species